rnacentral:rRNA from 1 species
GAUGGAUAGAAGAACCCCUGAUGCCGUCGAGCCAAGAAAAGUUUCUAAGUUUAGCUAAUGUUGCCCGUACCGUAAACCGACACAGGUGGGUGGGAUGAGUAUUCUAAGGCGCGUGGAAGAACUCUCUUUAAGGAACUCUGCAAAAUAGCACCGUAUCUUCGGUAUAAGGUGUGGUUAGCUUUGUAUUAGGAUUUACUCCGAAAGCAAGGAAACUUACAACAAAGAGUCCCUCCCGACUGUUUACCAAAAACACAGCACUCUGCUAACUCGUAAGAGGAUGUAUAGGGUGUGACGCCUGCCCGGUGCUCGAAGGUUAAUUGAUGGGGUUAGCAUUAGCGAAGCUCUUGAUCGAAGCCCGAGUAAACGGCGGCCGUAACUAUAACGGUCCUAAGGUAGCGAAAUUCCUUGUCGGUUAAAUACCGACCUGCAUGAAUGGCGUAACGAGAUGGGAGCUGUCUCAAAGAGGGAUCCAGUGAAAUUGUAGUGGAGGUGAAAAUUCCUCCUACCCGCGGCAAGACGGAAAGACCCCGUGGACCUUUACUACAGCUUGACACUGCUACUUGGAUAAGAAUGUGCAGGAUAGGUGGGAGGCUUUGAGUAUAUGACGCCAGUUGUAUAUGAGCCAUUGUUGAGAUACCACUCUUUCUUAUUUGGGUAGCUAACCAGCUUGAGUUAUCCUCAAGUGGGACAAUGUCUGGUGGGUAGUUUGACUGGGGCGGUCGCCUCCCAAAUAAUAACGGAGGCUUACAAAGGUUGGCUCAGAACGGUUGGAAAUCGUUCGUAGAGUAUAAAGGUAUAAGCCAGCUUAACUGCAAGACAUACAAGUCAAGCAGAGACGAAAGUCGGUCUUAGUGAUCCGGUGGUUCUGUGUGGAAGGGCCAUCGCUCAAAGGAUAAAAGGUACCCCGGGGAUAACAGGCUGAUCUCCCCCAAGAGCUCACAUCGACGGGGAGGUUUGGCACCUCGAUGUCGGCUCAUCGCAUCCUGGGGCUGGAGCAGGUCCCAAGGGUAUGGCUGUUCGCCAUUUAAAGCGGUACGCGAGCUGGGUUCAGAACGUCGUGAGACAGUUCGGUCCCUAUCUGCCGUGGGCGUAAGAAGAUUGAAGAGAUUUGACCCUAGUACGAGAGGACCGGGUUGAACAAACCACUGGUGUAGCUGUUGUUCUGCCAAGAGCAUCGCAGCGUAGCUAAGUUUGGAAAGGAUAAACGCUGAAAGCAUCUAAGCGUGAAGCCAACUCUAAGAUGAAUCUUCUCUAAGCUCUCUAGAAGACUACUAGUUUGAUAGGCUGGGUGUGUAAUGGAUGAAAGUCCUUUAGCUGACCAGUACUAAUAGAGCGUUUGGCUUAUCUUU